rnacentral:lncRNA from 1 species
AAGCUUUCAUAUAAAUGGCUAGGAGUGGACGGACACAAUUGCUAGUAUUUCUUACACUUCCAAAGUUACCUUGAGAGUUUAUGAUUACUGUGUGUCACUAGAACAGCAGAAGGCGUGCAUACCAGGAUUUGUUGUUUCAUCUGAUAGCCUGGACUUGCUAAGAAAAAAAAAGAGAAGAGAAGAGAAGAGAAGAGAAGAGAAGAGAAGAGAAGAGAAGAGAAGAGAAGAGAAGAGAAGAGAAGAGAAGAGAAGAGAAGAGAAGAGAAGAGAAGAGAAGAGAAGAGAAGAGAAGAGAAGAGAAGAGGAGAAGAGAAGAGAAGAGAAGAGAAGAGAAGAGAAGAAAAGAAGCGAAAAGAAAAGAAAAGAAGUGAAAAGAAAAGAAAAGAAAAGAAAAGAAAAGAAAAGAAAAGAAAAGAAAAGAAGUGAAAAGAAAAGAAAAGAAAAGAAAAGAAAAAAGAAAGGAAAAGAAAAGAAAAGAAAAGAAGCGAAAAGAAAAGAAAAGAAGCGAAAAGAAAAGAAGCGAAAAGAAAAGAAAAGAAAAGAAAAGAAAAGAAAAGAAAAGAAAAGAAAAGAAAAGGAAAGAAAAGAAAAGAAAAGAAGAGAAAAGAAAAGAAGAGAAAAGAAAAGAAGCGAAAAGAAAAGAAAAGAAAAGAAAAAUAAGCCCUUAAUAUAGCAAUUCACUUUCUGGGAACUGUUGUUUAGAGCUAAAUUCCAGCUUUCUUAUGUAUUCUAGGAAUUGUAAUUUGCUAUAUGAGUGCUUGCAAAUCAGUAAACAGGUCUGUUUGUUUGCUGUACGGGGAUCAUUGCCAGGAAACUUUACACUCAGUACACUUGGUCUGAAACUCAGUUCAAAGGUGUUUACUGCUCACCACGCCUAGGAAGCAGGAAGCUUUGCAUGUGGUCUCUUUUGAAUCACUUGGCUACCCAUAGACAUUUGACACAUGUCAGCGUCCAACUUCAGUCUAAAGGCAGUAGCAAGUACAUCUGUACAUGCACAUCAAGAUCUUGUUCUGAGGUACUGAGCUUGUGCCAUGAAGUGGAGCCAGUCGUACCUGCUGACACUGGGAAGCCUUGAGACUAAGCCAGGAAGAAGAGGAUACCAGGAUGUCACAACCGGUAUCACAGCCAUUGGCCACCUCAGCUCCUGCAGCCCUAGAGGGACAUUGGGGCCAGCAGAAUCCAGAGCAACUUUAAGACUGGUCUGAAAUAUGCCACGGUCUAAAUCAGUUCUUUGGAGCCAGUAGCCCACAGAAGCAGUGUGAAGGCAUGCUGGUAAGCGCUAGUGUAAUUGACAGUCUGCUUUACAACACAGAAUUAGGGCCAGAGAUCUUCCUUGGAAAUUCAGACAGCAGUCAGCUGCGUUACUGGAUUGCAUUGCUUUGCCACUGAAGAUUAAAAGAAUUGGAUGGCUAAGAUUAAAGUAUACUUUCACUGUGUGAAGGCAUACAAUCCACCUACUCAGAGAACAAGAUGAGUCAUUCUAAAAUUCAGUGCAUCAAUACAUUAUUAUUUAUACACAAACAAAAUCUGAAUUACCAAUGGCAACAAGUUUGAAAAAGAUUUGAAUAGGAACAAACUUGUGGAAGAAAACAUUUAUGGUAGAGAAGGUAUCAGUUUUUAAAGAAGUCUGUUUCUAGAAAGGCUAACAUCAGAAGAGAAAUAACAGAUGUAUUUUGCAAGACUGGUCCUGCUGCUGGUUCUACAUCGGCAGGGACAAAAUAGGCUUGAACAUCUAGCCUGAAAUCCUUUGUGCAUCACAUAUAUGCAACUCAGCAUAUCCUCUAACUGAAUUCAGUAAUGUCUGAUGAAAGACCUCUCAGAAAGUCACUUGGUCCUGUUUUGAAAACACUAAGAACAGGAAAGCCUAGUUCUUGACUAGGCAGGUUGUAACAACAGUUACCCAGUUUCACAAUAAAAAUGGUGCAUCCCUUGUCUGAUUUGAAUCUGUGUGACCCAGGUUUUGCUCCAACGCUCACAUCUUCUUAUGCCUUUCCCCACUGAAUUAGAGAGCUCAAUGGAGCAGAGCAGCAGACAGCCACUUUUCAGUCAGUCAGAUGUCUUAAUUACUUCGUCAGCUAUAUGCAUGUUCCUGGAAAGGAACUUUGAAAUCCCUCCACCUGCUGUAGCCUCAGCCUGGCCUUCUGUUCCUGGAAGCCCGUACUAAUUAUUCUCCACAGCUGUAAAACUGAAAUUGUACAAAGGUGAUUCAGCCUCUUAACAUCCAGUACCUCGGAGAGAAUAGCGUGCUCUCCUGCUGUCCACGGACUUCCACUGACUACUGGC